GUUAAGAUUGCUGAGUGGUCUAAGACGCCAAACUCAAGUUUUGGUCUAGGUGAGAGGGUGUGGGUUCAAAUCCCACUAUAAAAA
rnacentral:tRNA from 1 species